rnacentral:tRNA from 1 species
GUGUAGAUAUGCAAAUUGGUGAAGCAGGCAGACUGUAACUCUGUUCCCUCGUGGUAAACUUGUAGGUUCAAAUCCUACUCUACACACCA